AGAAAGCAUUACAUUGUUUUAUAAACCAGUAAAAUCAGCACUUUCCAAACAGAGAGUGAUAAAUUGUCAGACCUGUAAGUGAUUUGACCUUGAUCUCUUAGCCAAAAGUUAUGGGAACGGCACCAACGCGGCAUCUUCAAGCACCCAUGUUACAAAGUGCCAUUCCUAAAACAAUUAACUGCCUACUGCAAUGACAUGUUUCCCAUUUCUCCCCUCCUGUUCCAUUAUGUGUCCUCCCAGUGAAAGAAAACACGGCUGUUCCUCCUCCUCCUCCUCCUGUCAAGGCAAAUGACUACAAGAAACAUAUUUCACUUCAGAUGAAACAAAGGCCUCUCCCUCCUGGCCAAAGUGCCAUUGGGACAUUGAGAUGAAUUGCUUGAAGAGACUGACAUGAAUUAGAAGUGUUCCAUUUGCUGCAGUGAAAUAGUUGUGAUUGAUGGCCUGAAGAAUUCUGGUGACGUGAUCCUCUCCCUGAACAGACAUUAAUCAUAUCAAAUAAUGUUUUUGUUUUGUUCUAUUUUUCAUGCGGUCUUCAGUUUCACCUCAAUAAACCACUUUGGAAGAUGAUAGAGAAAUGCACAUUUGAUGUUAUACAAGUUAAACAAUGUUCACAUAAUGCCCAUGGGCCUUUGAGAAAGAAAAAGAAAAAUGUCACAUAAUGUAAGGGAUGUGAUUCAUUUGAGCACAGCCAAGAGGAAUAAAAUCUGAUUAUUUUUUUAAAAAACCCCUCUGUUAAAUAUUAGCAUAAUCUGAUUAAUUCCACAGAUCAAAUAAAUUGAAAGCAGAGCCACAUUCAGAAAUGUAUGUUUUAUAUAUGCCUUCUAAACCACAAUAAAAAGAUUGCAGUUAGCGCAGCCAGGUAAAAAAUAUGGCAAGAAUAAAGUCAUCUUCUAUCAUUCUAUAGGAUUAUACUGACGGAUCUUUUCUGGCAUAAUUUUUAUCUCUGCUGACAUGGCUUUGUUAGGUUAAACAGAAAUAAUCUUGAAAUGCCUGCUGUUGGUAGGAAUGAAAUUCAGAUUUAAAAUAUUUAUUACAACUCAUCAUCUGAUUUGGGAAACUAAUGUGUACCUCCUGUAUUUCAAAAUGAAAUUUAGCUCUGCUUACAUGGGAACAAGGUUGCUACUUUUGAGACAAAUCAAGAACCAGAGUGGAUUGAUAGGUAGAAUUUUAGAUCUGCUCCUGAGAGAAAUAUGAGAUGUGAAUUUCUGGCUUUAUGAAAGCUAAAUAUCCUGAUCCAGCAAAAGACACCCUCACAGACAAGCAGCCUUACCCAAGUGUCCCUGCUGCUGCUGCGUAUCUGAGUGU